rnacentral:tRNA from 1 species
GCAGUGGUGGCUCAGUGGUAGAAUUCUCACCUUCCAUGUGGGAGACCUGGGUUCAAGUCUCAGCCAAGGCA